CUAAGAAUCUUCCGCAAUGGGCGAAAGCCUGACGGAGCGACGCCGCGUGGACGAAGAAGGCCGGAAGGUUGUAAAGUCCUUUUCUCGAUGAAGAAUAAGGCAGCGAGGGAAUGCGCUGUCGAUGACAUUAGUUGAGGAAUAAGCCCCGGCUAAUUACGUGCCAGCAGCCGCGGUAACACGUAAGGGGCGAGCGUUGUUCGGAAUUAUUGGGCGUAAAGGGCGCGUAGGCGGCUAGGCAAGCCUGGUGUGAAAGGCCACAGCUUAACUGUGGGAGUGCGCUGGGAACUGCCUAGCUAGAGUUUCGGAGGGGAAGCUGGAAUUCCUGGUGUAGGGGUGAAAUCUGUAGAUAUCAGGAAGAACAUCUGUGGCGAAGGCGAACUUCUGGCCAGAAACCGACGCUGAGGCGCGAAAGCGUGGGGAGCGAACAGGAUUAAAUACCCUGGUAGUCCACGCUGUAAACGAUGUGCACUAGGUGUUGGCUGUGAUAACGGUCAGUGCCGAAGCAAACGCGAUAAGUGCACCGCCUGGGGAGUAUGCUCGCAAGGGUG
rnacentral:rRNA from 1 species